rnacentral:rRNA from 1 species
GAAACUCGCCUAUAUGAAGUCGGAAUUGCUAGUAAUCGCAGAUCAGCAUGCUGCGGUGAAUACGUUCCCGGGCCUUGUACACACCGCCCGUCACACCAUGGGAGCCGGUAAUACCCGAAGUCAGUAGUCUAACCGCAAGGAGGACGCUGCCGAAGGUAGGAUUGGCGACUGGGGUGAAGUCGUAACAAGGUAGC